rnacentral:lncRNA from 1 species
CCUCACCUCUCAGAGACGGGUGUGAGUGUCACCACAAGAAGAAUGGGAUGGGAGCUGUUGUGGCCAUCUUUGGAAAAUAUAAAAUGUCACUGAGGGGGAAGGUACAUGUAAGAACUAUCUCUGCCUCCUUUUCCUCUUGCCAGUUGGAGCCAAAUCAUUCAGAUUUCCAGGUUGUGAGGAAUCCUUCAGCCCCCGUGGUGUAGCCACUGACACACUAUCCAGUUGCCACAGUUGUGGGUGUUGAACCCUACCCUUACCCUUAGGCCUUCGGUGGAACCACGUGGAUCUCCCCGGGGCCUCCAGGAGGAGAAACGUGCUCUG